ACAUCCUUCAGCACAUAAUCGGCUCAAUGCUAAUAAGUUAGAAGGGCUCAUGCAUGGCCAGUCAUGCUCAGGCAGCAGCUUAUUCAAGAAAGCUUCUAUUUUGGGAACAGCUGAAACAUAUAAAGACUUCACAGGUUACCUCCCAAAUGAGUCUCAUCACUGCAAAUACCCGUGGAUGGCGCCUGUGAAGUAGGGCAGUGAGAAGACAGUAACAAAACUGACUGUGGUGAUUAUGGAAAUUUCUGUCUGCAUAACUCUUGUGUAGAGGCCGAGGUGGUGGUGCUGCUUGGCCACGCUGUGCCUGGGUGUAUGUUGGGUUGGCUGCACACCAUCAGGAUGGGAUACGUGUCCCCUGAAGAAGUCUGGCUGUAUUCAAGAGCUCUCACAGAGCAUCUCAGAGCCAACCCAAUGGACAUGGGGCUGACGAAGAUGCCUUGCUUUGACUGUCACAGAGUGAGACAGGUCCUCUGUGUUUACAAGGUGCUUUUCUCUGCAGCAGCUGGGAGCUGGGUGGAGGAAGGUUUCUGUGCCCAUGGCGUGGGUGUGUGUAGACAUUUCUCAUGCCCCUGAGCAGUGGUCUGUGACAUGCCGUGCCUUUGCUGGCAGAGGGGCUGGGGUUAGAAGUCAGCAGCUGUCUGUGUGAGGUCUCAGAUGAGGUGUGCGUCCUCUCAGGAGGAGUUACGAAUGCUCACCUUUGUGCUCUCUCAUUUGCUGGCUGUGCCUGAAAUGAAAUGCAAGUUUAAACCACCAUCCACUGCCAAAAUCUGGCUGUAUCACUGCCAGGCAUUUGGGUUUUGCCUUUAGCCCACCUGCAGAGCUGUAGGACUUUACCCAACACAUUGCAUAGGCCAGCUUUGUGCCCCUUGACAGCCAGUACCAUAGUAAAGCCUUAAAAUCCAUCUGCGUUUCUGUGCCUGUCCCCUGAGAUUCUCUUGUGCCUUCUGUCUUCCCUGGAGGCUGCUUGGAGGAGUGCUUGGCACAGCCCUGAUGGAGUAGUGUAAGCUGGCAAGGCACAGAUUUCCCAGAGAAAUCAUGCUUGGGGUGUGUGCCUGGCAAAAGAGGUGUUGAUCCCACAAGUGCGUGCGAGCCGGAAUGUGGCUGUUUUCCAGAACACCUCCUCAAAGCCGACAUCUGGCCGGCAGGGCUCCAGGAUGCCACCCAGGGAAACCAGCUGGAGCCAGGUGUGAAGACCUGGAGGAGCAGCAGAGGGUCUGUUCUCUGAGCUGAAACUCAUGCAGAGUUGUGUUCUCUGAGCUGAAACUGGUCUUCAUCCUUGCAGAAGUAAGAUCUCUGAAGUAUCUCACGGGUUGCCUCUCUGGGAUUGCCUCCCUGAACAGGAUUCCUCAACAAUGCUGUUCAAUGCACCUGCCGCUGCAGCAUAGACAGGUGUUUCUUGAGCAAGACAAAAGCCUGCACCAUUUUAUGAUGCCUCUCACUCCAAACUCAGGAAGCUGCUGUCACCAGAAACACAUCUUGUUCCUCGGGAUUUCUCUCUUCAUGCAGCCCUCCAGCUCCUGAGGUGUUUCAAUAAACACUGAGCCUCUGGCCGUGAUUUCUAAGGAAAGCAGGGUGUGUAGCCAUGAAUAAUGGAGCUGCUCGGGUUCCCCAUUUCAUUUAUGAUUUUAAUCCUGCUGCCCAUUUUCCUUCCAUUGAAUGAGAGAGUUUCUCUUUUCAUUGCAAGUGAGGAAAUAAAAUCUUCCAUCCUGUAUUUUACUCCAGAUAAAGAUCAAUCUUCUGACUUUUCUCCUGCCUAAGACUACUGUGGAGCACCAGCCAGGAUUUCUGUCUUCCCUUGCCUUCUUUGGGUGAACUCAGGUCCUUUGCUCUUGGCCCUGACUUUCAUCAGUGCUCUUCCCAGCUUUCCAGCUCCUCCACAGGCUGCUGCACUUGUUCUACUUUAACCUACUUGUCCAGAAAUCCAUAAUGCCUAGCUAAACUUCUAAAAAGAUACUUAAAGCCUUUUUAAGUCCUUAUAGUAUUUUUUCAUUUCAUAUAUCCUUCACUCGGCAGUGGAAAAAUCCAAAGUAUAAAGCCAUGCUUUACAGAAGAGCUAUGAUUAAUUGAUGUUCUAAAGAUGCUUUGAAUGAAUCUAUGCAAAAGUCACCUGGUUCAAACCUCUCUAUAAAACUGUAUUAACUUGGGGUGAAACUCUGUUCAGUUGUGAGUUAUAAGGCGGGUUUAUGGGUUGUUGUUUUUGUUGUUGUUGUUGUUGUUAUUGUUUGUUUGGUUUUGGGGACCUGAAAAAACUCAGUACUUUUACAUGGCUUUGACACAAGACCUUGAAAGUCAGUAGGUGCAGAGAAGUUGCAGUUUGAGGUUUUGGAGUGGUAAGAAAGCCGACAGAGCUGAGAGCAGCUGGCAAGUAAAGUCCCGGAGGUGUGAAGUAUGCAAACCCAGACAAGUCUGUGCUGCACCUGUGAGCUGGGUGCUCUUGCACACUGCUGGUCUUGUCACUGCUGGCUGAGAGGGAGGAGAGGGAGGUGAUGGCUCCAGUCCUUGCUGCAGUGCAGGCAUGCUGCCAGGAGAAUAUCACAUCCCUGGGCUACACCAGCACUCUCCACCUCUAAGCUCUCAGAUGGCAUCCCAGAGGCCAAAUAGUCCAGGGACCCCCAGCAUCCUGGUUUUGGAGCUGCAUGGGAACAGAAAAUGUGUGACAGCAAGGGUGAAGUUCUGGGACGGCUGGGGUCUGCUGUCCCAUCAGUGUGCUCCCAUCCAGCUGCAGUGUCCCAAAACAAAGCACAGCAGGGCUACUAUCAUCUCUCCUCCCUGUCUGCCUUUUCCUAACACUGACACAUGCCCCGGCACACCUGCUGGUGCUGGAGGGCUGUGUGAAGAGGACGGGGUGGUGUGAUCUGGGGGCAGCACUGUCUUGUUUCCACAUGUGCCAUGGGACACAGAGCCCUGCUCUGGAGGCAGCUGAGAUGCAGCUGGCUUGCGAUGCUCAGCACGUCAGAGCUGAGCACAGUGAGUGUGAUGUUCAUCUUCAGGUGGGGCCUCAUCCUGGCUCCUGUCUCACCAGUGCAACAAAGGUGCUUGGGAAGGCUUUGGGCAGGAAGAGGAUCUGUGACACCUUCCAGGAUGAGCAACAGGGCUGCAAUUUCUUGCUGUAAGGUGAAAAAUGGCAUCAAAAGCCUAGUAGAUCUGGGCUGUCUGCUCUUCCCUUUCCCCUUUGCCUUCAUCAUUCCUGGUGGCAAGCCCUGACAUCUUGCAGCAAGCCACAGGGUUGUCCCCUUCUUUCUUUGCUCACAGUGCGUGACACAACCAGACUGGUCCUGGCUGCACUUUUUAGUUGCUGCUUUAGCACAUGCCCAAGCAGUAAGAGAAAGAUACUGAUCCUGUGUAGACAGUGGCUGGGAUGCAUUUUGAAAUUAUGAUUUCCCCUUACAUAAGCUAACAUAAAUUCCUGUAACAUAAUAUAAGGCAACACAACAUAUAAUGUAAUAACAAAAUAGGACACAAAUAACAUAGUAUAGCAACCAUUUAUAUGCACCUAUGAUAUAUAACAAUGUCUCCUUGCCCUGUGCUGUUUUGGGCACAGAGACUUAAGGGGCAGAGAGGCUUUUUUGCACUAAUACCAGCUGGGUACUUGCAGUUCUUGUUGACCCCCACCAUCAAGUCCCUCAAAACCACAGUGUGCUGUGCACUGAGAUGUUAUCUGUGGCACAAUGGUUCCUUCCUCAAGGUACAAGGGAAAGAAGUUUUAUUCAUGAGUGGUUUGCUGUUCUUUUUACCCCUUGGAUUGCUACUACUCAGAUUCAGCCAGACCUACUGGUGUUUCUGCAACUUCAUGGGCAAGGGGGGAAAAUUACUUUGUGUGAGCAUACACAUGAAGAUCAGCUGUGUUUAAUUUCAGUGUGGAACCUUGUCUGCCACUGUCAUUUCUUUUAUCAGAAAGUACUGUAGGUAAAAUGAACAAUAGGAACAAAUACAAAGAUGCUGGAUGAUGGAAGAGGUCAACUUCAAGCACCUUAAGGUGGCCCACCAUGCCAAAAAAGUUGUCCAUGUGGCAGCAUAGCCAGCUCCCCAGCUGUGUGCCAUGAGUACAACAGCACCACCUCUUGCUCUUCAACUGCUGCAGCUUCCUCACCAACAGCCUGCUCAAGCAAAGCAGAGGGAUGCUGAAAUCCUGAACUCCUAUGAGGAACCAACAUCUGCUCCAGCCUAACAUUAAAGCACAUAUCUGAACCAAGAGGAGCCCGUGGUCACUUAUGUUCAAGUUGAAGGAAAGACGUUUUACCUGGAAAUCCACCACCCACCACUACACAGGUGUGGAACUUCAGUCCUGAAGCUGGGAUGCCUCUCCAUCUAUUGGCUUGUCCAGGCCUGCACAAGACUGGAAGCGGUAUGUGGCCCCCAAAUCCUCACUGUAGGGCACAGGAGUUUUGGCUUCACCUUUGUUCAUCACUAAAUAGCAACCUGAGAGGAAGCUGAGCUGGGCUGGGCUGGAUUCCUCAAAGGUUGCAUCCUUCGGUGGCUGGCCAGAGGACUUUACAUCAGCUGCAUGCAGACUGUUGGAAAGGACCUGGUGGGAUUUGUGCUAAGAGCACACCCAGGAAAGCAGAGUUCACACACAUCAGCCUCAGCAUCCCCAGGCCAGUUGCCUGAAUAGGAAUCUGCUUCAUUUUUCAGCUGCUGACAUCCUCAAUAAUUUUGUUUUCAGUUCUUAAAAUACCUUUCAGUUGUCUCUCUCUAAGAAAAAAAAAUCUAUGUAAUGCAUAGGAUUUUGAGAGACAACACGAGGAAAUGUUCCUGUUGUCAUUUCCUCUGUCUGGCUGCUCUUUGUCUUAUGUUAAGCAAAGACAGAAAAAACAACAUGGAAUUUAAAGAUGGAUUUCAAGCGAGCAGAGAGAAUUUGAAGGCUCUGGCACAGGUUUUAAAAACCUAGCUUUGUCUUUGGAGUGGGUUUUUGUAUUAGCUUUUUGUGGAUAUGCAGAAGAGUUCGUGGAUAUGCGUUUCAUAGGGUUUAAAAUGUGCUCCUCAUGCAACGACACCCCGAGCUUAAAGCUGACAGUCUGCAAAUACCGAUGAGCUCCCCGGAUUAACAUCGCUCUCUGUUCUGAGUGUACACGAGGAAUGGGUUUUCUAGCUAUGUGCUUGGCAUGUGGCACUCUUUAGGGCAGAAAAUGGGUUUAGAGCUGCACAGUUUAGCUUUGCAAAUGCAGAUUGGGUUGUUUAUAGGUUUGGCUGUUUGACUUGUGCUUACAACUAUAUCAGCUCCCCACAAUAAGCCUGCUUGAAAUGUGUCCCUGGCAGUCAACUGGGCAUUUCUAAUCAAGCCUGACUCUGGAGCUACUUCCACACCCCAAAGGGAUUACACUAUCACAAAUCACUGUGUACCAUUUCCAAAUGGUGUAAUUGCUGGAUGGCAGCUGGAGGAAAUGCUGCCUGCUUCCUAAUUUAUAGAGAUUGAAAAGUCAUUUGUUUAAAGGAGAAUUAGCUCUCUUUAUCAUCUGAAAAACAAAGUAUUUUAUGGCAAUCUAAAUAUGUCAGAGAAUUAGCAUGCUGACAUGAAACAAGGCAGAAAAUGCUAAGAAUUUUGGAAGACUUGUAUGCUAUUUUCAGUUUUGUACAGAUUUUCCUGUGGGUCCUACAACAACCGGUCCUCCCACCUAUUAAAUGCCUAUAAUGUUAUAAUUUUACCUCCUUUUGAGGUCUACUGGAAAGCUUUACCCUUCAGUGUCUGCAAAAUAUUUUGAGAUUCCCAAUGUAGUUCGUUCUCUAAAUGUAAAAUAUGCAUUAUUCAUCCCCUUUUAAAAUAGAUUUCUGAUUUAAGGAUUAUCUUGCAAGCAAAAUGCAACUGAAAUGAACAAGUUAGUAUUUAUGCUUUUCACAAAUCCCAAAACCUGGGGAACUUCAUUCUUUUCAGACUUUGCAGGAUUUUCACUUUAUUUAAGGUCCAGUUGAUUCAGACCUCUCAGAAAUCUGACUGCAAUCAGCUCUCAAUGAGCCAGCUACACUGGAUAUAGAUCCACCAGUGUGGAUAUUUGCCUGAUUAAUUUGGUAUUCGACUUAUCUGGGGAGCGUAUUAGCCCAGAUUAAUACAUUCAGCUCCAUGCAGGGUCAGCCAGGGUAUCUCUGCACAAUAAUCCCACUGUGCUCUGGAAACUGGUUUUGCAGAGAGUUAGCUCAUGUCUAGAAGGACUUAUCAUUGUGAAUCAUCCUUGGAUCUAUGAGCUCCAAGCUAGCUACAGGUUCCUCCCUCACAUCAGCCUCUGGGAGGCUUAUCAGCCCAGGUAUGUGCAGUGGGAAUUAUCAAAUGUGCAUUUCCACGUAAAUAAACAAGUCACCCCAGAGCUCACUCUGCCAGGGCUGCAAUACAGUGACACCAGAGGACGUUGGCACCAGAGAACUAGCUCAGUACACUAGACCUCAUAAGAUUUGCAGUAAAUUUUCACAUAAAAAAGAAAAGGUUGAGAAAGAGACAGGUUAAGAAAUGAAAGUUUGUUCAUAUUCUCACCUAUAAUGGCUUAAUAUGUUGGAAAAAAAAAUGACAAAGCCUCCACAGGCAGCCCUGCAGUAAUGCAUGGAUUACCAACUGGGAAGUUCAUCAUGCCACUGGUCUGGCUGAGCUUGGCAGCAUCACAGGUUUAUCUUUUCACACCCAGCUGCUCUUUAAUGGCCUCACAAGCAGGCUAUAUUGGCCCCACACUUGUCCUCCCAGCUGCCAGCCUUUGUUAGAUGUCCAGGUGCUCUCUUUGGCAGGUGACCAGGGCAGGGGAAUAGACAGCUUCUUUCUCUCUUAGAGACACUGCCUUCCCAGCACCAAAUCUUGCUUUGGUCUGCCAGGCAACCCACUCCUUUCUAGACAUUUUGCAGUAGCUCCUUUGCUUAUAACUCCAUUCAAAAAUGCUCUUAACUAUAACUGCAGGUAGAGAUGCAAACUUGGAGGGUUGCCCUGUUUUUUCUGAUUGUCUAGCACCGAUGAUGUUCGUCUUUGAGUGCCCAGAGCACUGGAAGAGGCCAUGCCUUGAAGCUGGCCAGUGGCAACAUCUCUUGGCUGCUCAUCUCUUCCACACUUCUGCUCUACAAACUAGACUGCUGAUACACCUAGGGUUAAAAUAGUCCUUCUCAAAUAAAGAGAGAGAGUGUGAUUUUUUCACUGGCAAAAUUGCAUCGACACAGUUUACAGGCUGACCUCAGCAACUGUACUUAUAUGUGUGGGAGAGGGCUAAGUGUGGAUUGAGGGCAGGAAAAAGUGUCAGUGAAACAGGGUAGAGAAAGACAGAGAGGCAAGAUGUGCUGUGAGGCAGGAAUUUCUUACAUAACAUCCAGACAAAACCCAAACACUAAGGUGCAACGCAGUUUCAAAACAAUUAACAGAUAUUAUUUAAAAACUGGAAAGCAGCAAAAUUCUUGCAUUUAUUUAAGAAGAGGAAAGGAAAACUGGGAAAACUAUGGAUCCACCAGCCUCGAUUUAAUUUCUGGAACAUAGAAGCGUGCUAUCUAUAAGCACCAAAAACCACAACCCAUAUGGAUUUCUUAAGAAUGAAGCAUGGCAGAGUUACCUCAUUUUUCUUCCCAGGCAGUGCAAGAAGCCUGAUGGAAAACAGAAAAUCAAAAGAUGUCAGAUAACAUAAGUGUGGUAGGGCUUUUGACCCCUUGUUUCCCCUGGCAUUUUUAAAAUCAGACUGUAGUAACGUGUUCUUGGAGCCACUAUAAUGUUGUUGCCUAACCUGCACUCAAGAAAUAAUUAUCAGAGAUUUAGUGUCAAGCCAGAAGAUUGUAACAAAUGAGGGUUCAGAGGUCUGUAUAAAGUCCAGGGCAUACCAGUAUUUUCUAUAGUGCUUGAGAUGCUGGAAAAGGGAGAAUAGGUACUAAGGGGCAGCUGGUAUGUAGCCAGGAGGGACUGCAAGCACUUUGAAGGAAAUGCCUGGACUUCAAUGUAAGUGUGACAAAUUGGAGAAAUGGUGUGGAAAAGUAGGAAGCAAUUCUAUAUGAAGAAGUGCAAAGUCAGAUCAGCAUGUGUCAGCAAUGGUUUACACAGAGGACCCAGUUACAGUCUGUCUGCGCAGCCUCCUCCUCCCGGUGAUGCUUGGAGGCAGCCAUCAGAGAGCUGCUGGCACUGCUGCCCCAGACGGAUGCACCACAUGAGGAUGUCACCACAGGACCCUAACUGAGGUGGCCAAGUGAGCUGAGGCUCUGGCACAUCCCUCUGUCAUGAUCCCCAGCUGCGUGUCCUCAUGGCACACAUCCCGUGUGGCUCCUGGCAGCACGUGUGCCAUGCAGGAUGCAACCCCACGGGUGGAUUUCCCACUUCUGGUGCCAGACCAUUGCACAGCACUUCUGCCUCUGAGCAGACCUUGGUGACCCACUUCAUCUGGGCCCAGGACAUGAUGAGUUCUUCAAGAAGGAUCUUACUGCAGGUCUGAGCCAUGGGGCAGGAGGACAACAUGCCCACACCUUGCACGACCCUGCAGCUCUACCAUCCUGCGCCCUCAAGUGAAUGGUGUUGGUGUCAUUGCUGUUGCAGAAGAGUUUGCAGAAAGUCUUCACACCUUGUGCCUGGAACAAAAAACUAGUGCUGGAUUUCACCUGUGAAAUUUGGGAUUUAAAACGAGAAGCACACAGAUGUGCCCUAAGGAUGAGCCAGCUGUACCGGACACUGAAUCCUGGAGAGAGGUUCAGUUGAAAAAGAGAGCUGCCUCUCUCACAUUCACUUUGACCAGAUCUUCCUUAGUAAGGCGACUUUUGUGGAUCACGUUAAUUAAGUGGGCUGUCACACAGAGGCAGAUAAACACCUGCUAUACUUCAAGGCAGGGAGGGUCGUGGUGUUACGACAGAGACAAGCAUAUCAGCGUGAGCAGGCCACUGAGCACUGGGGCUAAAUUCAGGUACAAGACCGGGUGAGUCACCUGCAGGUAAGAGGUUAAUGUCAGCACUGUCUUCAGGAGAGACUGGCUCUUAAAAUAUCACAUCUGAAUGCAUGCUCUUCUCAAGCUACAGAAACCUGCCAGGCCUGCUGCCAAGAGGAGUUGGGUUGCAGGUGCUGUGGUGCUGGUUCCUGGCUGCUCCUGCAGGAUGUUCUACACCAGUAUAUAUUUCCAAAUCCAAGACAGCAUCUUUAUCUUCAAACUGCAGUGGGUGCCAGACCACUCUCCCCCAGCGAUCGCUGGAUGAACCUGGAAUGGUUUCCACGGGGUUCAAAUAUCGAGGAGGAAAAAUCCUAAGGCAUAAAUUUCACAGCUUGAUCUCCUAUCUCCUCUCUGCAGCAGCCUGCAAAGGUGCUCCUGAGUGCUUCUUCUCCCAGGCUUCAGACUGUGUAUAUAAGCAAUUUUUGCAUGCUUUGAUGCCUAAAUUCUUGGUAUAUAGCUUCAGGCAGGCAGCUCAGGUACCUGUGGUGGGACCAACACCUCCUUGGGCUUUCCCCAUAUCAAGUGUCACAAGCAGGCCCACCAAAGGCUGGCUUGGAUCCUUUUUUUACAAAACUAUCCUAUCUACACAAGGAAAAAAUGUGUGCGUGUCUCUAUGGGCAUGCAUGGAGGUGCACGUAUGUGCACGAGCAUCCUUACAGCUCUGCAGAACAAUUUGAUGCUGUCUGAAAAUGCAGCCUGAGGUAUUUAAAAGCGAGGAGCACAAUAUAUGGAGAGGAAUACAGUACCCUGCUAAAAAUAUUGUAUGUCUGAUCUGGGAAUACUUAUGGUUUAAGUGGGCUAUAAAUGAACACUUAACUGCUUUAGAGCUGUGAAGUGAUGACCCUCAGGUGGCCUUGGGACAUGCCGCAUGGUCUCCUGUAGCUGCCACUCCACUGAAAAUAGUGGGGCUGAGCACCGCAGAGGCAGCCUGGAGUGCAAGGCUGCCUCCAGGAACCAGCAGCCUGUCCUCUGCCUGACUUAAUGCUCUGAUGUUUCCAAAACAAUGAAAUUCUGCUCUCCUAAAUGGAAUAAAUGAUAUUUACGAAUGCCAAAUCAAAAGCACGUGUAGGCUGAGCCCCACAUUUUAAUACCUGGAAUCAUACUGCUUUUGCAAUACAAACCAUAAACCAUUCUCACGAGAAAGAGAUAAGCACUGAUCAUUUAGUACAUAAAUCAUUUGAGGAUGUUAAGGCUGUAUGACAGAAAAAAUAUUUAACACAGAUUUUUAACAAAUAUAGGAGCAAGGUUUGGCUUAUUCCAAUUCAUGGCAUUUCUUAUGGGAAACUAUUUGGACAAUUGCUCCACAUUUGUUAUGUCCUUCUGAGUAUUGCUAAUUUUAGCACAAAUGAUUGUUCAUCUAAAAAUUCAUGCCUGAAAUGAAAUGCUUCUCUAUUUAUUAUUCUCUUCUCAUAAAUGUUUGCUACCCAGUCACGAGAGGGAAAGCACGGAGUAAUAGCACAGCUCCCCACAUGGCACAAAUAGCAAGCAGUAGAAAGAAGCACUAAGGCAGUUUUGGAGAUGAGCUAUGUCAAUUCAAGUUAAUAUUAGACAUAAAGCCUUCUUCAUUCCUUGCAUGCUCCACCAGAGAUACAAUGUCACCCCCAAAUCAGCACACCUCCCACCUUCCCAGACAGCAGGGCAGCACCACCGCUGAGUUUACAGGGUUGGACAUCGUGGGGUUUCUCCCCACCAAGCUUCAAGGCAGCAGAGCCUGGAAGAAGGACUUGGGGGUGUUCUUCCUGUGUGUCUAGGUGGGCACAGUCAGGACCCCAGUGUGUGUCUGAGACACACUGACCCCACUGUGUGGGCUGAAACAGCAUCACAAUCCGGUUUCUGUGCUAUGCAGCAGCAUCUACGUUCACAUGCACCCUUGCAAAUCUGGGAAGUGUACCAGGAGUGACACCUGUCUGCCUAUUAGUUUCCUUUCAGCAAAUUUGAUGCUAACAGUAUCCCUUAGCCAAGAGAGGAUUCAGAAAUUUGGUUUCACAUCCUAGUUCAUUAUAUUACUGGUCAACUGCACCACUAUAAGAACAAAUGCAAACUAGAGGUCAGUCUGCAGCCAUCAAACAGGAGAAGAUGAGAAAGAUGUUUUUAUUAAACAAAUAUUCUCAAACUCAUAAGCUUAAGUGUGACCAGCAUAAUGCAACCAAUUCCUAUGGAAAGCCUUCAGACUGCUUAUGAUUUUCCUUUUAUAUUUCAUAACCGUUUAACUCCUCAUCCUAAAAAAUUCUCUCCUAAUCUUCUACUGUUUAUUUUCAGUCCCUGUGAUGACCUCUUUCAUCUAGUGGGGAUUCUGUUAUUAAUGAAGCUGAAGCAACGCCUUCUCAUAAUCUUUCUGCUGCUGAGCUCAGAACUCCAAUUCCUAGAACAUUUGGUUCCUCUGCUGCCGUAUGAGGCCGUGUAAGUGCUCCCUUGUGGUGUUACUGCCAAGCAGGGUAUUAGCUUUUUGCCAUCACAGAUUCAAAACAUGCCUGUGCUUCCUGGAACUGGUUGGACUGCAUCCCCUCUUCUACUUCCAAAACAGAGACUUGUUGUAAAAAACACUAUGCUCGUUCAGACUGCACCGCUACCAGGUGCAAGCAGCUGAUAGAAGAGAAAAGGCAUGAAGCAGCUGAGAAAAAAUGAAGAUAUCAGAUGGAGUUAAUCUAAUUCCCAAGGAGGGAAACAAUGGUAUGUCAACAGGUCCUAGGCUAAGAGGAGGAAGUCCUUCUGAGAAUACCUUAAUACUGGUUGCCAGUAAUUGCUCAUUUUGGGGAAGAGAAGAGAAAGGAGAAGAAGAGAAGAGAAGAGAAGAGAAGAGAAGAGAAGAGAAGAGAAGAGAAGAGAA